rnacentral:rRNA from 1 species
AUUGAACGCUGGCGGCAUGCCUUGCACAUGCAAGUCGAACGGCAGCAUGGAGGAGCUUGCUCCUCUGAUGGCGAGUGGCGAACGGGUGAGUAAAGCAUCGGAACGUGCCGUGUAGUGGGGGAUAACGUAGCGAAAGUUACGCUAAUACCGCAUACGCACCGAGGUGGAAAGCAGGGGAUCGCAAGACCUUGCGCUAUACGAGCGGCCGAUGUCAGAUUAGCUAGUUGGUAGGGUAAAGGCCUACCAAGGCGACGAUCUGUAGCGGGUCUGAGAGGAAGAUCCGCCACACUGGGACUGAGACACGGCCCAGACUCCUACGGGAGGCAGCAGUGGGGAAUUUUGGACAAUGGGGGCAACCCUGAUCCAGCCAUGCCGCGUGAGUGAAGAAGGCCUUCGGGUUGUAAAGCUCUUUCGGCCGGGAAGAAAUCGCACAGGCUAAUACUCUGUGUGGAUGACGGUACCGGCAUAAGAAGCACCGGCUAACUACGUGCCAGCCGCCGCCGUAA